rnacentral:tRNA from 1 species
GCCUUAGUGGUGUAAUGGUAGCACACUCGGCACGUACUCGAGAGGUCCAGGUUCGAGUCCCGGCGAAGGCA